rnacentral:rRNA from 1 species
ACUCAAAUGAAUUGACGGGGGCCCGCACAAGCGGUGGAGCAUGGGCAUUAAUUCGUCACUAACCGAAGAACCUUACCCAGGCUUGACAUCCACGGCAAGUCCGUGAAAGCGGUACCCCUCGCUCGAAAGAGCGAGCCGUGAGACAGGUGUUGCAUGGCUGUCGUCAGCUCGUGUCGUGAGAUGUUGGGUUAAGUCCCGCAACGAGCGCAACCCUCACUCCAUGUUGCCAGCGUCCAGUCGGGCACUCUUGGAGAACUGCCCGGGUAACCGGGAGGAAGGUGGGGAUGACGUCAAGUCGGCAUGGCCCUUACGCCUGGGGCUUGACCCAUGCUACAAUGGGCGCCACAGAGGGAUGCAAGACCGCGAGGUGGAGCCAAUCCCAGAAAAGCGCUCUCAGUUCGGAUUGCAGGCUGCAACUCGCCUGCAUGAAGUCGGAAUCGCUAGUAACCGCCGGUCAGCUAAACGGCGGUGAAUACGUUCCCGGGCCUUGUACACACCGCCCGU